rnacentral:rRNA from 1 species
GACGAACGCUGGCGGCGCGCCUAACACAUGCAAGUCGAACGAGCGAGCGAGAGCUUGCUUUCUCAAGCGAGUGGCGAACGGGUGAGUAACGCGUGAGGAACCUGCCUCAAAGAGGGGGACAACAGUUGGAAACGACUGCUAAUACCGCAUAAGCCCACGACCCGGCAUCGGGUAGAGGGAAAAGGAGCAAUCCGCUUUGAGAUGGCCUCGCGUCCGAUUAGCUAGUUGGUGAGGUAACGGCCCACCAAGGCGACGAUCGGUAGCCGGACUGAGAGGUUGAACGGCCACAUUGGGACUGAGACACGGCCCAGACUCCUACGGGAGGCAGCAGUGGGGAAUAUUGCACAAUGGGGGAAACCCUGAUGCAGCGACGCCGCGUGGAGGAAGAAGGUCUUCGGAUUAUAAACUCCUGUUGUUGAGGAAGAUAAUGACGGUACUCAACAAGGAAGUGACGGCUAACUACGUG